AAGAGAGGGUGAGGUGUUCUGUCUCUCCCAGCAGGUCAAGUCAGAACACCGCAGCAGCAGGUGAGACCAAACCCGACGAAGCAUUCGUCUCCAAACACUACACAGCAAACAAAUAAGUCAUUGAAUUUGACUCCAUGUGCAGAUUUCUAAACCAGAUUAAAUUAAAUGUCUAUGAUUGUUGUUUUCUUUUCAGAAAACUGAACACCAGAUUAUUUCAUUUAUUGAUUUUUCAUUUUCUCUUUAGUUUUAUAUUGUAGUCUCUCAGGUCCUGCAGGUGCAUCUGUGUAAGAGAGUCACAGAGAGAGGAAAGGCCAAAGAAGGUGAUACCAUGUGCUUUAACAGUUUAGCCGGUCAGUUGUGAGCCAUACAACGAAUCACUUCCAGACACCUGCUCCAUAACCGGAUGGUUGCAAGUUCAGGGCCCCGUCUGCUGCAGUCGUGUCCUUGGGCAAGACACUUAACCUAACUUGCCUGCUGGUGUUGGUAGGAGGGACAGGGGAUGCCAAUGUACGCCAGCAUCUCCUCCAUCAGUGCGCCCCGGGGCAGCUGUGGCUACAAUGAAGCUCAUCACAACUAGCAUGAAAAUGUGUGUGUGUUGGUGAAUUACUGGUGGUGUUGUAAAGCACCUUGGGGGGUUGCAGAAACCUAGAGGGCACUAUAUCAAUACAGGCCAUUUAACACAUUUAUAGCAACAACUAAGUUUUUAAGUGGCGAUCAUCCUGCAGCUACGUUGUAUUAAAGAAUCUAAAGCUAAUGAAUGUAUGAUCACAUUUAUGCAUUAGCAAAGAUCUGCAUUAUAACUUGAAAUUCUCUAACAAGCUAUCAAAAUGAGAAUAAAUUCAAUGUAUUCUAAAUGAUUUCUCACAUCAUUAUAACCAUGUAAAUGAGAGAAACAGAUGAAAAAAAUCAUUUGGUUUAUGAUUUAAAGGAAAUUUGCUCCAUUAAAGUUGAGUUGGAAGCUAAUAAACACACGUUUUGUUGUCUCUGUCCUGACCUGGGACAUUUAAUUUUAUUUAUCCAUCCAUCCGUCAUCGAUGCCUGUUUAUCCGUGCGUGGCCGCGGGAGGGCUAGUGCCUAUCUCCAGCUGUCAUUGAGCAAACAGGCAGGGUACACCCUGGACAGGUUGCCAGUCCUUUGUAGGGAAAUGCAGAGACACAGGACAAACAACCAUGCAUGCACAUAAGGACAAUUUAGAGGGACCAAUAAACAUUACGGUCAAAUUGUGGGUCUGUGGGAGGAAGCCGGGGUACCCAAGGGGAACCCUUAUGUGAGAAAGCUCCACACAGAAAUACCUCAUGUUGGGAUUUGAACGUAUGAUCUUCCUGCAAGGCAACAGUGCUACCAACUGCACCACUGUGUUUUAUUUUACUCUAUUUAUUCUGUCAAUUUCAGUGCAUGUGCACUAAAACAUCCAUCCAUCUUCUGAACCCGCUUGUCCGCGCAGGGUCGCUGGGGAAGGGGGCUAGUGCCUAUCUCCAGCAGUCAACAGGCAAUCAGGCGGGGUACACCAUGGACAGAGAGCCAGUCCAUCGCAGGGCAACACAGAGACACACAGGACAAGCAACCAUGCACACAUACACUCACACCUAAGGACAAUUUAGACAGACCAAUCAACCUAACAGUCAUGUUUUUGGACUGUGGGAGGAAGCCGGAGUACCCGGAGAGAACCCACACAUGCACAGGGAGAACACGCAAACUCCAUGCAGAAAAAUCCCAGGCUGGGAAGCAAACCCAGGACCUUCUCGCUGCAAGGCAACAGCUCUAACCACUGCGCCACUGCGCAGCCCUGCAUUAAAACAUGUUCUUCUAAAUGGUUGGAACGCCAAAAGGUUUUUAAAAAGUGCUUAUUUUAGGCUCCAUUUCAAUAGAAACAAUCCUCUAUAGACCUGUGGAUCAAAAGAGUAGAUUCCUUGUACUUUCUGAAGUCAAGAUGACCAGCGUCCGCAGCCAAAUGGCUUUGCCUCUGACGGAGCUGACUCAAUGCCCAUUUACUGUUAGAUGUGUGUGUGACUCGUAAUGAAGCCAGAAGCUGAAGCAGAACAUCGCAAACGUGAGACGGGCUGGCAGAAGACAAAAAGGUUGUGCUAAAGGCCUCAGGAACAAAAACUGAGCAAAUUAAUCAAAGGACAUCAAAAGAAAUCGGGAUGGAGGAAAGGAAGGAAAAAAAGAGGUGCCGCCCGUUUGUUCCCCGCCGCUCCUGCUUCGCUCGGCCUGAUCCUGCUCUCAGAUCUUGGAUUCAUUGUCUCAUUGAGGUGGGGGCUGGCUGGGGAGGGGGGCAUAUCAACUCUUAUUUAACAAACAUCUGAAAAUUAAAAUAAAAACCUUUUUUAUUGGUUUACUUUGUCUAAACUCUUGACUGUAUUUGAAGCAUUGUGUUGUUUGUGUGUUCCACAUGCCACCAUCUCCAUGAGUCAAUGACAGAUUUACAUUUCUGAUUAAACGGCUGGAUUCUAACAGCUGGCUAUUGGUUUUACAAAGAGUUCUUCCACCUUUCUGCAGGCUGCAAACAAACAAAACCUCUUUCAGAUUUGUCGUCAA